rnacentral:tRNA from 1 species
CUCAGCUGGUAGAGCAUCUGCUUGACGUGCAGGAGGUCACAGGUUCGAGUCCUGUACCGC